UGGGGAAUAUUGCACAAUGGGCGAAAGCCUGAUGCAGCAACGCCGCGUGAGGGACGACGGCCUUCGGGUUGUAAACCUCUUUUAGCAAGGAAGAAGCGAAAGUGACGGUACUUGCAGAAAAAGCGCCGGCUAACUACGUGCCAGCAGCCGCGGUAAUACGUAGGGCGCAAGCGUUAUCCGGAAUUAUUGGGCGUAAAGAGCUCGUAGGCGGUUUGUCGCGUCUGCUGUGAAAACCCGAGGCUCAACCUCGGGCCUGCAGUGGGUACGGGCAGACUAGAGUGCGGUAGGGGAGAUUGGAACCCCUGGUGUAGCGGUGGAAUGCGCAGAUAUCAGGAAGAACACCGAUGGCGAAGGCAGAUCUCUGGGCCGUAACUGACGCUGAGGAGCGAAAGGGUGGGGAGCAAACAGGCUUAGAUACCCUGGUAGUCCACCCCGUAAACGUUGGGAACUAGUUGUGGGGUCCAUUCCACGGAUUCCGUGACGCAGCUAACGCAUUAAGUUCCCCGCCUGGGGAGUACGGCCGCAAGGCUAAAACUCAAAGGAAUUGAC
rnacentral:rRNA from 1 species